GAGGUCCUCAGCUGGAUAGAGCACCUGCCUUCUAAGCAGGCGGUCACAGGUUCGAAUCCUGUCGCGAUCA
rnacentral:tRNA from 1 species